rnacentral:lncRNA from 1 species
UUUUUUUUUUUUUUGCUUUUUAGGGCUGCAGCAUAUGGAAUUUCCCAGACUAGGGGUUGGUCAGAGUUACAGCUGCCAGCCUAUACCACAGCUGCAGAAACACCAGAUCCAAGCUGCAUCUAUGGCAUACACCACAGCUCACGGCAAUGCCAGAUCCUUAACCUACUAAGUGAGGCCAGGGAUUGAACCUGGACCCUCAUUGAUCCUAGAUGGGUUCAUUACUGAUGAGCCAGGAUGGGAACUCCAACUAGGAACAUUUUUGUAACCAAGCUAUAGAAAUCAUGAAACAGACAAGCACUGACCCUACCCUAUUAGAACUUAAGAACUUUAUUACUAUAACUUUUAACCAGGAAUUCUGGUUUAUAGAACAAAUCUAAUCACUUUCCACAUGAACAGUUCUUCAAAUACUUGAAUUUAUCUCUCAUAUCUUGCAUGAGAUUUUUUUUAAGGCUAAUUAUGUCAAGUUCCUUCCAACCAUCAUGAUGCAGUAUGUAAGACAGGACUCUGCAGUAGUGAGAAUGUUUAUUUCAUAAGGUUUCUAAAAGCAAAGAGGGAGAAAUUAUGGCAAAGAUAUGUUGCAACUUGUUUCAGCUUAGAGAUAAGAUACACUCUCAAAGUAACACAUGGCUGCCUGGCAGAAUAGAUCUGCUACAUAUACUUACAUAUUGUGAUUUCUAAAUAAAAACUAUUAAUGUCAAAUCAAAUAAAUCUUUUAUUUUUUGCCCUUUUUUUUAGAGCCACUCCCGUGGCAUAUGGAGGUUCCCAGGCUAGGGCUAGAAUUGGAGCUACAGCUGCCAGCCUGUGCCAGAGCCACAGCAACACCAGAUCCAUCUGAGCCACGUCUGCCACCUACACCACAUCUCACGACAACGCCAGAUCCUUAACCCACUGAGUGAGGUCAGGGAUCGAACCCGCAAUCUCAUGGUUCCUAGUCAGAUUUGUUUCUGCUGUGCCAUAACGGGAACUCCAAAAUCAAAUAAAUCUUAAAAGUGAUCCAGUAGAAGCUGUCAAAAAUGUUGUAGGGAGAAUAAAGUAAUAUCAAGAGGAAGAGAUUUUUACAGUGAUGAUGAACAUGAUAUUGACCUAAGUUAUCCAUCCAUAGGGCUUAUAAAAAAUGGCUAAAAGAUAAGAGAUUUGGAGUCAUUCAAAUAGAAGACUAACUAUGAGAAUUUAGGCUGAAUAGGUAAUAGUAGAUAAAGAAAUAGGUUCACUCUGGGGGAAAAAAUGAGUCAUUUUUUGUUUGUUUUGUUUUUUUGUUUUGUUUUGUUUUGGCGAAGAUUGUACCACAUACUGGUAGGACUAGUCGGAGAUGACAGCAUGGGUUUUUAUCAAUCAGGGAAAAUUAAUGACAACACACUAUAUUUAAGGAUAGUAAUAGACUGUGAUGAAACGUGUUUUCAGCAUGACCAGAAAAUAAAUUACAAGUCUCUAAUAGGAAGCCCUAAGAGCCCUUUAAAAUGAAGCAAAAACAACAAAAUCUAUGUCCAAAUCACAAAUAUAAAUGAUGCUGAAUUUGUUUCUCUGGUAUCUGUAGUAUUUUUAAAGAAAAACUCAUCCCUAAAGACGGACUGACUGUCAGAUUUAGGAUGAAACGAUCUGAGGAUUUGAACGUGCCUGCUCCAUAAAAAGGAGUGGGCAGCAGCCUAUUAUAAGCUCUAGUUUGCAAUGGGCUUUCCUUGAAAGUUUUUGAUGGAAAACACCAUCACCCAGUUUGACCACUCACUGCUGGCUCUGAAUGACUAGUACAGUAUUUCCCAAGUCAAAUUCCAUUUAAAAAGGCACAGACAUGCCACCACUGCCACCUCAUCUCUGAAGAUAAAGUUUUUCAAAGCCCCUUGAAAGAUAAAGCACUAUUAGAGUAAGUGGGCAUCCCCCUCCAGUAACGACUUGAAAAGAAGUUUUGGGUAUAGGCUGGGCUGAUCUUCAUCUAGUAGACACUGGGAAGACAUGUCUGAUGCAGACAACAUUCUUAUAUAAGAUGGUAAACUAGGGAGUUCCUGUUGCAGUGCAGUGGAAAUAAAUCAGACUGGCAUCCACGAGGAUGCAGGUUUGAUCCCUGGCCUCGCUCAGUGGGUUAAAGAUCUGGUGUUGCCAUGAGCUGUGGUGUAGUUCCCAGACUCAGCUCGGAUCUGGUAUUGCUGUGCCUAUGGUGUAGACUAGCAACUACAGCUCCAAUUCAACCCCUAGCCCGGGAACCUCCAUAUGCCACAGGUGCAGCCCUAAGAAAAAUUUAAAAAUAAAAUUAAAUAAAUAAAAUAAAAUAAAAUGGUAAACUAGGGGUCAGAACUAGCACCCUUAGGCUAAAUCCAGUCCUUGGACUAUUUUUAUUAAUUAAGUCUUGUUGGAACACGGACUGCUCAUUGUUUACAUUUUGUCUAUGGUUGCUCUCACCUACAAUGGCGGCAGAGCUAAAUAGUCCAUAAAGCCUAAAAUAUGUAUUACUUGGCACUUUACAGAUGUUUAUCUACUCCUGAUUUAGACUAUCACCAGUGUAUAUACUUACUGACGUUUGUGAGUUUUCAACCAUCUCUUUUAUUUUAUAUUUAUUUCUCUAUUAUUAUUUGUUCAUUGGCUGGGUUAUUUGUAUUGUCUUUGUUUUUUUUUUUUUUUUAAGAAAUCAUUUCAUUGAAAGAUAAAGCAGAGAUAAAGUACAUACACCAAAAAAUGAAGAGUAUAAUAAAUUAUUAUAGGAUAAAAUCUCUUUUAACCAGGUCAAGAAAUUAAAUGUUUCCAAGCCACCCCAGAUGGCUUUUUCAAGUGUCUUCCACCCAAAUGCAUAACCAAUAGCCUAACUGUUAUGGUAAUCCUUUUCUUGCAUUCUUAUGGUAUUAUCACCCAAGUAUGUAUUCCUGGAAACUAAUUUUACCUGAAUCACUUUUUUUAAAAAAAUUAAAAUUAAGUCACUUUAAUAUAUAAUUCCCACCAUCGCCACCUCUACUUCUUUGUCUUCCUUACAAUUUGCCUUUUGAAGGCCUGAGAAUUCCCCACAGUCUAGCUCUUUCUCACUAUAUAUUCCCAGUAGAGUUCACCAUGU